UGUUAGCAGGGACCUGGUAAAAGGCUGACCUCCUGAGAGAUCCACUUUACAUAAAAAUGAUGCUCUUCAACACAUGUAAAAACGCACUAUGCAAACAAUCGAGCCAUAAAAUAUUUAUGUGCUAAACCAUAAAUUAUUCAUCCAGCAGCGUAUGUGUUUGUGAGAUUGAAAAGUCAGAGUGUGGAUGGAGCAGGCAGAAAGUCAUGAACACAUUUUAAAUUAACUGGCAAGCCACAUCACGUUAAUACCUCAGCCUUGUUCAUUUAAUAGGUUUUAAAUAGAAAUCCCAGCUUUGCUAUCAUGAGCUAUAGAUGCUAAAAAACAUUUUCAGAUUUGUAUACUUUGUUCAUUUAUUAUGUUUGAAAUGGUCAGAAAUCUCAGCUUUUCUAUCAUGAGCUGUAGGUUUUAAAAAUAUUUUCAGAUUUUAUAACAUUUGAAAAAAUUGAACCAAACACCAACCAAAAAAAUCCCUUUGGCAAUGAAAAGAACCAUGCUUAGGGUGCUAAAACCAUAAAAUGAGACAAAGCCACACUCUGCAGUAAAGCUGACAGUGUUGCAUUCGGCACGGCCUCACAUGCUGGGCGGAGGGCAGGCCUGCAGGAGGGGCUCAUCAACGCCUGGGUGGGGCUGCCACGCACUCCCUCUUCUACAUCAUUUCUAGUUGCACAAUCAAAUAAAGAGAUUCGGAAGGACUAAUCCAAACUCAGCACCCGGGACUUUAAUUCUUUUCUACAGCUCACAACGGGGGCUACUGAGACGAGAAGGGAGCGGAGCACCGGGGUCACCCUGGGCUGAGUGGCACUUCAGAAGACAGCUGCUCACAGACGCCCGUCACACUCCAGUCAGUACAGUCAGGCACUUCGGACGUACAUGCAGCCAGGAAAUCCUGAUCGUUCAUGGCAUCUCUGCUCUGCCAAAGAGGAGGCUGCACUUUCACGGAGCGAACGGAAAGGACCACUCUGAUGAGGGGACCAGACACCAAUGAAAACAGAUGGUCCAGAUGAUCCAACAUUUCAGAACACUUCUGUUGCAGUUUCCUCUGAGUUCUGCACCCAGAAAGGCUUCAAGACUGCUGGCUGAGAUGAUCCAGAUGCUGAAGGAACCAGUAACACCAUGGCCAUGUGGCAACAUAUAGAUAAUAGACAAAGGUUAAUUUAAGAUGAAAGAGCUACCUAGCAAGAAGCCUGAGUCAUAGGCCAUAUAGUUUGGAAUUAAUAUAAGCCUCUGAGUGAUUAUUUUAUAACCGGCUGCAAGAGCUUGAGUGGGAGAGAUUCGUCCAACCGUGGAGCUAGUCAGGACCGAGAAACUUCUACUACAGACUUAAAUACAAAGCUUUUCACGUUAGUCAUGUUUUCAGGCUCUUUUUGGUACAUUCAACAGAAGGACGCAGUAUUAUACUAGCUCAAAUUCAGUAUUUGGGUGUUCAUACUUGCAGAUGAUCAAGAACACACCAUGCCUUGGAAAUAUUCUAUAACUCAUUUAGACUACUGUCAAUGUUUUUAUUAUUUUGUAGCAAAUUUAAACUUUUUUGGUAAAUGUG